rnacentral:tRNA from 1 species
GCUCAGCAGGUAGAGCAGAGGACUGAAAAUCCUCGUGUCACCAGUUCAA